rnacentral:rRNA from 1 species
GUAGGUCCCGAGCGUUAUCCGGAUUUAUUGGGCGUAAAGCGAGCGCAGGCGGUUAGAUAAGUCUGAAGUUAAAGGCUGUGGCUUAACCAUAGUACGCUUUGGAAACUGUUUAACUUGAGUGCAGAAGGGGAGAGUGGAAUUCCAUGUGUAGCGGUGAAAUGCGUAGAUAUAUGGAGGAACACCGGUGGCGAAAGCGGCUCUCUGGUCUGUAACUGACGCUGAGGCUCGAAAGCGUGGGGGGCAAACAGGAUUAGAUACCCUGGUAGUCCACGCCGUAAACGAUGAGUGCUAGGUGUUGGGUCCUUUCCGGGACUCAGUGCCGCAGCUAACGCAUUAAGCACUUCGCCUGGGGAGU